rnacentral:rRNA from 1 species
GUGUCAGCAGCCGCGGUAAUACGAAGGGACCUAGCGUAGUUCGGAAUUACUGGGCUUAAAGAGCACGUAGGUGGUUAAAAAAGUUGGUGGUGAAAUCCCAGAGCUUAACUCUGGAACUGCCAUCAAAACUUUUUAGCUAGAGUAUGAUAGAGGAAAGUAGAAUUUCUAGUGUAGAGGUGAAAUUCGUAGAUAUUAGAAAGAAUACCAAUUGCGAAGGCAGCUUUCUGGAUCAUUACUGACGCUGAGGUGCGAAAGCAUGGGUAGCGAAGAGGAUUAGAUACCCUCGUAGUCCAUGCCGUAAACGAUGUGUGCUAGACGUUGGAAAUUUAUUUUCAGUGUCGCAGCAAAAGCAUUAAGCACACCGCCUGGGGAGUACGACCGCAAGGUUAAAACUCAAAUGAAUUGACGGGGACCCGCACAAGCAGUGGAGCAUGUGGUUUAAUUCGAAGAUACGCGCAGAACCUUACCAACACUUGACAUGUUCGUCGCGACUUUAAGAGAUUAAAGUCUUCGGUUCGGCCGGACGAAACACGGGUGCUGCAUGGCUGUCGUCAGCUCGUGUCGUGAGAUGUUGGGUUAAGUCCCGCAACGAGCGCAACCCUUACUUUUAGUUGCCAUCAUUUAGUUGGGCACUCUGAAAGAACUGCCAGUGAUAAGCUGGAGGAAGGUGGGGAUGACGUCAAGUCCUCAUGGCCCUUACGUGUUGGGCUACACACGUGCUACAAUGGCAUUUACAAUAGGAAGCAAGAUGGCGACAUUAAGCAAAUCCUAAAAAAAUGCCUCAGUUCGGAUUGUACUCUGCAACUCGAGUACAUGAAGCUGGAAUUGCUAGUAAUCGCGGAUCAGCGCGCCGCGGUGAAUACGUUCCCGGGUCUUGCACACACCGCCCGUC